AUGACAGCAGACUUCAUUCCCAGCCACACAGAGGUGGCUGCAAGAGCAACAGGCACGCUGCCAGCGGAGCCAGUGAGGGAUGUGGAAGGGUCUGAGCGAGGGCACACAGCAGCUGCUGUAAAGCUCCAGGACAGACAGCCAUUUCCUAACGAGCUCUUGAGCAGCACAAGCAGCCCCAUUUCCACACGAGGGCCACAGGCUGCCACCCACCCACAUCCCUUAGGAAAGGCUGCCACUAUUACCAGCCCAGCCAGCUCUGAUGCUGGCACCCCUCAGCCCAUUCCCAGUGCAGGGGUGCAGCAAGGUGUUUCUGCCUUGUCCACCCCAGGCAUCCAGCAGAGGGAGGCACCAAGUCUUGAAACAUCUCCUCUGACUUCAACAAUACCUUUCCAUCCUCCCAGAAAAGAAACAGCAUCUCCGUUUCCCACCAGAGAGAAGAUGGUGACCAAUCCACCAUCAGCACCUCCCACCAGCAAAAGGCCGAGAGAUGCGAGCCCCCAGGCACAGCCCCACAGCAGAGCUGCACAGCCUCGGGGUGUGGCUGCUAAGGUCACCACUUCUGCAUUCCUACCAAAACCAGCUUCAGGGGACCCUACCGCAGUUCCUUCCAGAACAACACAGACAACUGCUGGUUACUUCUCCCCUGUGAAGCGAGAGAUGGCAGGCAGCGAGGGCAGGAGCUCAACAGCAGCCAUAGUAAGUGGAUCUGGACACACAGCCCAGCUGCCUGCACUGCAGGACAUUCUGCAAGGCCACGCACACUCCUCUUCCCCACUGAUGCCUCUGGAAGCCCUGGAUCAUGAUUUACCCCACUCUCCAUCUCAAGAGCCCACUAAUGCUGCUGACGGACCGCAGCCUCUCCCUUUGCCUCGGACUCACAGCUGUACCAAACACCACUCCUCCCAGGAAGACCACAGGAGCUCUCAAGGAAGCACAGCCCUGGUUUUGCAAAAAGAUGCUGAUCACCAGAUGACAAGUAAACCCGAAAAAUCCAGAUUCCCUGAGAAGCCACAGGUUUCUGCUAGUGCAUCUUCAGUAAGCCAGUCACAGAUGUCCACCUUAAACAUUUCCCAAACUACUACAGGGACAAAAGGAGCUACAUCUGCAUUCUCCCUGGGCACUCCCACCCUGCAGCACGCAGCCCUUCGAGCUGUGAGCACUCCUGUUGUUCCUGCAGCACUUCAGCCAGCGGGUGUAUCUGCUCCUCCUGCUGGACCCCAGUUAGCAGGCAUCCUCACUUCUGCUGGGCAAGGACUUCACAUACCAACUUCACCCACUUCAGCUCAUUCCAGGUCUCUGCACCCACCUUUUGCUCAGGAAAGCCUGCCCAGCACAACUGCACAUCCCAAUGUGGUAGAGGCUGCUGUUUCUGAUGGGAUCCCAGCACACCUGGCACAGCUGCUGGUGCAGCAGUUGGAUACAUCACACCACACACCUACCAAAAACCUCAGUGCUAUCGGAACCGAUCACCUUAGCAUGUUACCAUCAUUCCCAUAUUUGUCCUUCCUGCUUAGAAAUACCGACAGCAUGCUAUGCCUGCUUCCCACACAGGAUUCCCCUUUGCCUGUGCAAUUCCCAAAUAUCAGCACUGGGACUCUGGUUUCUGCUCAGCAAAUCCUCACGGUGUCAAAUUCUUCGUUAUUAGAUCUAGGGGACUUACCAAACAUGAGUCUUUCCAGCUUAAUCCUGGUUAAGCCCAUAUUUAUCCUCUUUCCCACCGACAGACCAGGCUUACAGGGGAGGCCCUCUCCUGAGGGUGAAGGCAAACACAAAACCCUGUUGUUCAGCAACCAGCAAGGUGUGAAUGCAAUUACUGCUCAGCACAGCCAUGACAUCCCGCUGGUGUCCACACGCAUCCCCCGUACUGCCCCCAAAGCACCUCUCACAGCUGGGAAGUUGUUUUCUUUAUCACUGCCAGCGGUAGAACUGCCCGAUCCCCCACUCCCAGCCCAGCCUCCGUUUGCAAUCACAGAGGCAGUGGAUCCGGCUCAGCCCAGCAAGGAGGCAGCACUGCAAGGCACCGGCCUGGGCUCAGCCCCCGCACCGUCCUCUGCCCGUGCACAGUGCGCUGAGUGUCUGCGCUCAGCCAGGACCACGAAUUACCCACUGAGGGUGUCCACAAGCACUGUGCCUCUGCAGUCCACACCGCAAAGCUCCGAGCCGCUCCAAAGGCUGCCAUCACCAGCUGGGAUUGCGCCCAGCACCGUACCGGCAUCCCCAGCGCCUCCCACUGGCAGCGACAGGAGAGGUUCAGCUGCGGGCAGCGCCGCCUGUCCGGGAGUGGCUCUGCAUCCCAGGGCAGCACCAACCUCACCCUCAUCUCUGAGCCCCGGCCUUGCCAAGCGCCUGGAGCUCACACCCACCGUGCCCAAACCCUCUGCAGUGAUGGAGACCCCAACACCAGUGCUGUCACCAUUAUCAGCAAAGGUUCACGUGAAAACAACAACGUCUGGGAAGCUGCUGGCUGCAGUUACCCGUCCGAGAAUGUACGCCGGGUCCCCUGCAAGCCCGCCUUCCUCUGUGGCCAUGCGCAUUCUGCCAUCAGCCACAAAACACGACCGGAGCACCCGAGCACAGGGCAAUGUGGGAGAAGAUGCAAAGCCAGCUGAAGUCAGCACGAGUGCAAGGAAAACAGGACUCGCAGGAAGCAGCACUCCUCUGCCAGCUGUGUUUGGGCCGGAGCAGCACCCCGCAGCAGUGCAGGACAGCGAGGCUGCUUUAGCCCCAGUGCAGUCUGAGUCUGCAGAAGCUGUGAUUGAGACACACAGCUCUGCUGGGCAGCACCCUGGACCGCCUACGACAGGAUCGGCUGUGGGGCUGCCCCUGAGCACUGAGGAAGAAGAGGAGGCCGGACCCCGCGAGGUGACAGAAGAAGCAGCCGAAGGCUCAGUGACCGAGCUCACACCGCUGGGGUCACAGCCGGCAGAGCCCCGCCGCCGCAGCGCCGUGCAGCCGGAGGGCGCCGUGCUGAGCGGCGUUGCAGUUGUCAGCGAUGAGCUCUGUGGCUCUGGGAACUACACGGUGCGGAUGACCCUGCGCCCUGUGGCAGACACCAGCCUGGGGCUGCAGGGCUCACCCCCCACCCAGGACUCCUUCCUGGCUCUCGUAGCUGUGCAGAGCAGCCCCCAGCCCGUGCUGCAGCUCCGUUCCUGCUGUGUGACACCGUCCAGCAGCCUGCAGGGCCCCAGCGCCGUGUGCUGCUCGCUGCCCAGGCUGCCAGCUGAAUGCAGACACAUCCAGCUACUGCCGAGCAGUGAGUCCAGAGCUGCCAGCUUCACCAUCCAGCUGUUCCAGAUGCUAAAUCACUCCGUGGCCUACCUGCACUGUGAGCUCAAUGUCUGUCUGCAGGACCACACAGGCUGUGAGCAGGAUUGCUUUGUUGGUGCAGAGCCACUCCUCCUGCCAGGGGACAGGAACAGACAUGGGAACCCACACAACCUGGUCUCAUUCGGCCCAGUUCUGAGAGCAACGGACAGCUUAGAGUACAGACCUGCAGAAGGUCCUAAUUCUGCCAUGCUGGUGCCCAUUCUGCUGGGAUCCCUGACUGGCUUUGCUGUCCUGGGCAGUGUUUUCAUCUGCCUUUUGUUGCAUCACAGACAGAAAACCAAAAACCUAAGUUAUCCACAACUUGGAGAAAUCUGUGGCCUAUGAACUACACAUAACUUCCUGGUCCUGCCUAUCCCACUCCACUACUACAGUAAUCAGAAAAGCAAACACUUUUGAAUUGCACACUGUAUUGCUUUUGUAGACCUGUUGGCCCAGGGAGCAAGAUCUCUCUUUCCUUUCUUUCCUUCUGCACGCUUGAGCCCACAGACUGCAGAGUAGAGGACUGUAGAAGCAGCCCAUCCAAAGGGGAGAAUAGAUCUGCCAUGUAGCUAAAACCUCUAGGUCAGGGUUCAGUGUCUGUCUUGCAGAAGCACUCAUUAUUCCUUGCACUGCAGCAGUGCUGUGGAAAUUAGCACCACAUGCCAUUUGACAUUGCCUUACCCACAGAGGUAGUCCCUGUGCUAAGCUGUUAAUGCCAUUUAUGCCCCAGACAAGUGUCAUUAAAACCUGCUGGAGAGUUAAGGCAUAGAGCAAGUGCAAGUGUGUGCGCAUCAAAGGUGACACAGCUACAAAGGAGCAGUGCCCCAGCCCCAAAGGUUUGCCCUCUUCCCUGCGACACAUCUGCAAUCACAGCAGGUUCUGUGCAAAGCUGCAGCUUGAGGGCUGCUCAGUGGUUGUUGGUAACACACACCCCAACCUCCCAGAGCUGUGACAGGGCGCUGGGCUGCCAGGAUGUGUCAUCAGUGCAGCUGUGCUUUUGGGAAGAAAUCACUCUGCAGCUGUGUGUGGCCCUGCAAUGGUGCUGUGUGGUGCUGGGGCAGUGCCUGCACUCACUGCUAUCUGCAGAACUCAGCUGCAUCCUGCAGGGCCCGACGCUGUGCAGUGUCGUGGUGCCUCUUACAAAGGUGGGCUUCAGUACCUGCAUGCAUUGUAAAGGUGAAAAGCUGUUAAUAAAGAGUGGGCACAUCCCA
ensembl:lncRNA